rnacentral:rRNA from 1 species
AUUGAACGCUGGCGGCAGGCCUAACACAUGCAAGUCGAACGAGUGGCGGACGGGUGAGUAAUUUCUGGGAAACUGCCCGAUGGAGGGGGAUAACUACGGUAAACGGUAGCUAAUACCGCAUACCAUCGGAUGUGCCCAGAUGGGAGUAGCUAGUAGGUGAGGUAAUGGCUCACCUAGGCGACGAUCCCUAGCUGGUCUGCGAGGAUGACCAGCCACUCUGGAACUGAGACACGGUCCAGACUCCUACGGGAGGCAGCAGUGGGGAAUAUUGCACAAUGGGCGCAAGCCUGAUGCAGCCAUGCCGCGUGUAUGAAGAAGGCCUUCGGGUUGUAAAGUACUUUCAGCGAGGAGGCGUUACUCGCAGAAGAAGCACCGGCUAACUACGUGCCAGCAGCCGCGGUAAUAC